rnacentral:rRNA from 1 species
AAGGUUUGACAUGGAGGGCAAAGUUGAAGAAAUUCAACGGAGGUUAUCCGACACAGGUGGUGCAUGGUCGUCGUCAGUUCGUGCUGUGAAGCAUAUGCUUAAGUGCUAUAACGAACGCAACCCUCGUAUUUAGUUACUAUCAUUCAGUUGAGAACUCUAAAUAGACUGCUAAGGUAACUUAGAGGAAGGAGAGGAUGACGUCUGAUCAUCAUGCCCCUUAUAUCUUGGGCUACA